rnacentral:rRNA from 1 species
AAGUAAAAGUCGUAACAAGGUUUCCGUAGGUGAACCUGCGGANGGAUCAUUAAUGAAUUAAAGGGAGUUGAUGCUGGCAGUCUGACUGCAUGUGCUCACUCCCCUAAUCCCAUUUACACCUGUGCACUUAACUUUGGAGGGAGGGUAGAACCUGCCUUCGAAUUAACAAACUCGUCUAAAUAAUGAAUGUUUAUCUGCCGCAAGGCAAAAUUAAUUACAACUUUUAACAACGGAUCUCUUGGCUCUCGCAUCGAUGAAGAACGCAGCGAAAUGCGAUAAGUAAUGUGAAUUGCAGAAUUCAGUGAAUCAUCGAAUCUUUGAACGCACCUUGCGCUCCCUGGUAUUCUGGGGAGCACGCCUGUUCGAGUGUCAUGAAACUCUCAAACAAGAUAGAUUUGUUUCUAUCUCCGUUUGGAUUUGGACUCUGCUGCGUCAAUGCGGCUGGUCUUAAAUAUAUUAGCUGAUCCUAGUGAAGGUUUGGUUCUACUCAGCAUGAUAAUUAUNUGAUGUUGAGGACAGUCUCAGGACUGGCCAGGCUCUCUCUGGAUUGCUUCCAAUCGUCUUUGGACAAUCAUUCAAUAUCUGACCUCGAAUCAGGUGGGACUACCCGCUGAACUUAAGCAUAUCAAUAAGCGGAGGAAAAGAAACUAACAAGGAUUCCCCUAGUAACGGCGAGUGAAGCGGGAGAGCUCAAAUUUAA